GGGGUGGGAGGUGGGGGGGGGGAUAUGGGGACCCCUCGGUGUGGGGUUAUGGGGCGGCAGGGGGUGAUGGUGGCUGUGACCCCAUAGGAGCCGUCCCUGUACACGGUGAAGGCUGUGAUCAUCCUGGAUAACGAUGGGGAGCGGCUGUUUGCCAAGUACUACGACGACACGUACCCCAGCGUCAAGGAGCAGAAAACCUUCGAGAAGAACAUCUUCAACAAGACCCACCGCACCGACAGUGCGUGAUAUGGGGGGGAGAACACAACCCCAUAACCAACACAUGGGGUCACACAACCCCAUACCAACCCCAUACCCACCCCAUGGGGUCACACAACCCCAUACCAACCCCAUACCGACCCCAUACCAACCCCAUGGGGGUCCCACAACCCCAUACCCACCCCAUGGGGGUCACAUCCCCCAUACCCACCCCAUGGGGGUAACACAGGAUAACACAACCCCAUACCCACCCUACGGGGGUCACACAACCCCAUACCGACCCCAUGGGGAUCACACACCCCAUACCCACCCCACGGGGUCACACACCCCAUACCAAUCCCAUACCGACCCCAUGGGGGUCACACACCCCAUAC
rnacentral:lncRNA from 1 species